rnacentral:lncRNA from 1 species
GUCAAUAUUUCUCUAAUUAUUAUUACAUGUAAGACUUUCUAGCAUUACUUAGAUUCAUAUAAAUAUUAUACCGCUAAUGUAAUUUAUCAAUAAAUAAAUUUAGGUAUAGUCAAUACGCCGUGCAAUAUCAAAGGGGGUAAUACAUUAUUUUAUCAUACAUUUUACUAAUGUAUUUAUAGAUAUCGAUGUACUACUCAGCAGGAACUUAUCACCCCCAUUGUUUAGCUUAUAGUAUAAACAACCAAACAACAUAUUUACGAAAAAAAUUAUGAAUAAAAACUUUUAUAUACAUAUUCUCACCGAUCUAAAAAUAAAUGCUAAAAAUAAAU